rnacentral:rRNA from 1 species
ACGGGGGGGGCAAGCGUUGUUCGGAUUCACUGGGCGUAAAGGGUGCGCAGGUGGGUUUGCAAGUUCGAUGUGAAAGCCCCGGGCUUAACCCGGGAAUGGCAUUGGAUACUGCAGAUCUGGAGGAUCGGAGGGGGGACUGGAAUUCUUGGUGUAGCAGUGAAAUGCGUAGAGAUGCGGAGGAACACCGAUGGCGAAGGCAGCCCCCUGGGCUGACACUGACGCUCAGGCACGAAAGCGUGGGGAGCAAACAGGA